AGCGAACGUUUGCGGCGGGCUUAACACAUGCAAGUCGAACGGGCUGUUCCUUCGGGGGCAGUCAGUGGCGCACGGGUGCGUAACACGUAGGUAAUCAACCCUCUGGUUGGGGAUAACACUUCGAAAGGAGUGCUAAUACCCGGUAUGGCGCAGCGGUCUUCGGAUCGCGGCGAGAAAGACCCGCAAGGGUUGCCAGAGGACGAGCCUGCGGCCCAUCAGCUAGUUGGCGAGGUAACGGCUCACCAAGGCGAAGACGGGUAGCUGGUCUGAGAGGAUGAUCAGCCACACUGGAACUGAGGCACGGUCCAGACUCCUACGGGAGGCAGCAGUGGGGAAUAUUGCGCAAUGGGCGAAAGCCUGACGCAGCCACGCCGCGUGAGCGAUGAAGGCCUCGGUCGG
rnacentral:rRNA from 1 species